GACAUCUGUUGGACCGUACCAUGAUGGGAAUCAUGCCUACUUCACGCAUUUCUGAUUGUCUAGGGCCUCCAUUGACACUCCAUGAGAAUUUAAGAACCAAUCUUGAUUUAUAAGUAGUCAAACGCUCUCUGGCUUCAGCAGGGUAGACUUUGCGGUUAAUAGAAGACCUUUCACGACUAGACAACAUUGGCUUCGCAAUUUGAACCUCAUCAACGCGGA